UCUUGAUCUUAUAUUAAGAUCAAGUAUAGUAUCUGUUCUUAUAAG
rnacentral:snRNA from 1 species